CCGCAAUCACCGCUCGGGCCAGGGAGCGGACAAUGCCGGCGGCCAAUGGAAGCGAGGGGGCGUGUCGGGGGCGUGUCUUCAGCUCCAGACAAGAGCACAGACCCCGCGAGGGGAGGGGGCGAGACUCGUCGGAGCGAAAGCUCCGGGGACCGGGUGACCACGCUCCGGAUCCCGGCGUGGGCGCGUGUGGCCUGGAGAGACCCUGGAGGAAGGUAUCCUAAGGAGGCCAGAAGAGAGCACUGGAUCCCCUGGAAUUGGAGUCACAGACGGUUAUAAGCUGCCAGUUUCAACUCUGCCAUGGAUUGCCUCGUGUUGUGGUGGACGAGUGCAUCAAAUGUAUCCAAUAGUGGAGAUGUGAAAUCCAAUGUGAAGCUCCACGGCUGCAGGCUGGCUGUCCAGACGCUUUGGAAGUUCACGGAGGUAAGAAAGAACCGGGUCCCUGGAGAAAUGAGUGCCAGGCAAGCAUUAGUAUUUCAUUUUUAACUCUUGAAUGUGGACCACAGAGAAAUGACACGAACGCAGAGGAUGUUAAAUUGCAUCAAAGAGCCUGUACGUCACCAAGAUCUCAUUCACUUGAAGGGCACUCGACGCCUCAGACAGAAUUCUGUAACCUAAGAAGAAUUCUCCAGAAAGGUACUGUAUGAAACGCAACUUGUGGUAUGUCGUGUCUGUAAUCUUUGCCAAGGGAGGCUGAGGCAGGAGGAUCAAGAGUUGAAGGUCAUUCUUGGCUACCUAGCAAGUUUGAGGCCAGCUUCGACUACAUGAGACCCUGACUCAGAAGAACAAUGUUUGUGAGCAUAGCCUGGGUUACACAGUGAGACUCUGUCUCCAAAAACUAAAAACCAGCCAAGACUUGUAAUCAUUUGCCAUAUUUUCUGUAGCCCCGAGCAUCUUGGGCUGUUGUGAGCCAAGUUUGGAAAUUCAAGUAGAAAUCAGUACAGAAAGGUUUUGAACACACUGACAGACAUCUAAGCCCGCGCAGCCUUCCUAACGCUGUGACACCCCCACCCCCAUGUAAUACAAAUACAGUUCCUCUUGUAGUGGUGACACCAUACAAUUAUUCUCGUUGCUACUUCAUAACUGUGAUUUUGCUAUUGUUAUGAAUCCUAGUGCAAAUACCUGUGUUUUCUAAUGGUCUUAGGCAACGCCUGUGAAAGGAUCUUUGACUCUCAAAGGGAUCUCGACUCACGGGUUGAGAACUGCUGCUCUGCAGGGUUGAACUGCCAAAAUCAGAAUUUGGUACAAAAUUCAAAAUGACAAGGGUAACAAUGAUCUCUGAGGCUGCAGAGGCAGUGCCACAGUUAAGGGCUCUUACUGCUCUUGCUGAGGACCUGAGUUCAGGUCCCAGCACCCCUGUCAGGUGGUUCAGAACCACUUGUAACUCCAGCUGCAGAGAUCCCAGGCUUCUGAUUUGUGUGAGCUCCUGCACACAUGUGUAUAUAACCACACAGACAAAGCAGGGUCUCGCUGGGCACCCUUGGCUGGCCUGAAACUAACAGAGAUUCACCCGCCUCUGCCAGGAAGAAUCCUCCCCACCUCCCAGGCUCUCUCUAUGUAGUCAUGGCUGCCCUGGAACUCACUCUGUAGACCAGGCUGGCCUCGAACUCAUAGAGAUCCGCCUGCCUCUGCCUCCCAAGUGGUGGAAUAAAAGAUGCGUGCCACCAUGCCCUGUAGUAAAUCUUUGUUUAUAAAAGCCACCUCUCUCCAA